GGCAUUCAGUCCUGGGUAUCUUUGUGCAGCUUUUAAAAAACAGGUUAGCAAUUUUGUGGACUGGGAAGGGAGUGGGGGAAGAGAGGAGGAAAGCACAGCCGGUCAGAAGGGCGGCAGCUGCAGGGCUAAGGAGGGUGUGAGGGAUGUAGACAGCUGGAAGGUCAUUCAGCAGUUCGGAUAUCUGGUGAGCAGGGUCCAGGAGAAUGAACAGACAAACAAACUAUGGAGGGUGUAAGACGAGGAGAUACAGUGCACAGGGCACGGCUCAGGCAGAAAGGAGAAUCCCACAGGAGGACCUGCCGUGGAUGGCUUCGAAGCUGGUAGGUUGGUAUAGUUGCUGGGCACAGCAUGUAGAAACUCUUCUGGUGGCUUUUAUUUCUAACUUGUGAAUUAAGAGGAAAGGCGGAGAAGUACUGCAGGUUUGGAGAGAGAAGAUGGUACAAAAUAGUGAUAUGUACCAAGUGGAAUUGGAAAAUCUUCUAUAAGGAUUAUAUGUAAGGACCCAGUUCUCUCAACAAAGACCUGUGUGAUUAUAAAGACAGAAGAAACCUUAGAACGCAUCAUCUAAUCCAGUCAUUUUCUAGGCCAGGAAAUGGAGACUUGGAGAAAAACAUAAUGGAGAGAUAGCGAACACGGUUAACUGGCCAAAGAAAACAAUCGCACUAAGCAUAUUAAAGCACUUACAGGAGUCCUCCUAUAUGGCAGUACCAUGCUAAGAACCUUCCAUCUGUUAACUCCUAUAUUGAAAACUACUUCUAUAGAACUACUACUACUACUUAUAUAGAAAGAACUACUACUUACAUAGAAAGAACUUAUAAAAAAAGAACUACUACUUAUAUAGAAAAUAUAUGUAUAAAAAAGGCAUAUAUUUUAACUUCUGUAUUCCAUGUGAAACAAAGAGGUUCAAAAUGUUUAAGGACGACGCCCCCGAGCAGCACAGCUGUCUUCACAAAUAGACGGAAUUUCCAUUUGUGCUGCAGUUAUCACCAUCCUGUUUUAAGGGAUUCUCCAGUUCUUCUAUCGUACCCUGCUCUGCACGGACUCUGUACCUCCUUGUACCUAACCUGGAGCCCAGCCAAUGAAAUUCAAAUAUAAUGCCAACAAAAAGAAAAAACAGAUUAUGACUGAAAGACCAAAUGCGAGCUCUUCUAGGGGAAAUGUGUCCUACCAUGAGAUAAAAUGGUAUUAUGGGAGGAAUAAAGGUUUCGGUAUUUCAAGUAUGGCUUAUGCAUUUAUUAGCUGUCUGACCUUGUCAAGUUAUCAAAUCUGAGUAUUUGCUUUCUCAUCUGUAAAAUGUACCUAUCAAUCCUAUCUAAUAGGACUAUUGUGAGAAAUAAAUAGCACCAAAGCACAGUCCCAGGGAAGCCCUGGGCCUUCAGUAAAUGUAGGCUGCUUCUCCUCCACAUCAGAGGGUAGUGACCAACUACUUCAAGAGACCAGGGACUGUCUGGCUUACCUCCUGGUUCACAGAUGUAUUCUCUAUGGUUCCAGAUAAAUGACCGUAAUGGAGGUAUUAUGAUUGCUUCAAAAAUGACAGCAGGUACCUCAUUAUAAAUGUUAAGAAGCAGAAUUUCUACUGCUGAAAAACUGGACUACAACAACAAAAAAAGCUUCUCAAAGGAAAACAAGAAGGGCAAAGAAAAAGAGUUACAGAGCUAAGAGAAAUGAAAUGUGGUGAAGAAAUAAUAAGAAGUCAGCUUAUGGAUAACUAGUGCUUCUAUAAAGGAAAUCAGAAUAGAUGGAAUGAAAACUUUAUUCAAUGAAAUAUUUUCUUGAGGGAAAGAAAUUUCCCUAGACAAAAAAUAGGCAUGAAUUCUAUCUGGAAAAAGACUCACCUGCUACGGCAAAAUUAAUGAAAAGACACUGCUUUCUCUGAGGAAAAAAUAAAACUUAAGUAGACAGAAUAUAAUCAGAUGAAAUACCUUUAAGUAUUAAAGCAUACAGGCGAGGUAACUGGUUAUCUACUUAUAGAGAAAAGACAGGCUGGCCUCAGAUUUCUUGACAGCAUUACAUGCCACAUAACGGAACAACAUUUAGAGUUUUGACAAAAGACAGUUGUAGCUUAAGAAAUCUUUAUGCAGCUACAUUUAUCUAUGAAAGCAACAGAACCAUCUUCUCUAAUAUGCAAGUGUUUAAAGAGAAUGCUCAUCCUCUGGGGGAAAUAAAGAAACAAAGCAAACAAUAUCAUUAUAUGCCAGGUAUGAGUUAAAUAGUUUUUAUAGACUAUAUGGUUUUUAUUUCAUCCUCAUAACAUUACCUUUAUUUUACACUGAGGAUAAUCAUAUCCCUCAUGAUUCUUGUUUUACAAUCAGGGAUAUCCUUCCUUAUCCCCAUUUUUACAGUACAGGAAAUAGUAUAUUCAGAAAAGGUUAUUAACUUGCCCCAAGUCACAUAAUAAAUAAGUACAAAAAAGAGGGACCAGAAGUCAUGUCUGUCAGACUCCAUAAAUUUGACCUCAUAGUAUCUUUUUUUUUUUAAGAUUUUAUUUAUUUAUUUGACAGGCAGAGAUCACAAGUAGACAGAAGCAGGCAGAGAGAGAGGGGAAGCGGGCUCCCUGCUGAGCAGAGAGCCUGAUGUUGGGCUCGAUCCCAGGACUCAGGGAUCAUGAUCUGAGCCAAAGGCAGAGGCUUUAACCCACUGAGCCACCCAGGCGCCCCCAGCCUCAGAGCAUCUAUGCAACGCCUCUUGAAAGAAAAAAAUUUAAAAAGAGGAAGAUAGAAAAGUAAACACAAAUCAUUACAAGAAAGUAACAGGUGGGUUUUUUGUGGUCUUGGUAAUAAAAGCCUUUCUCAAUCAGAUAUCAGAAGCUUACUUCUAAUUUUAUUUACUUUAAAUUUUUGUUCUUACAUAAUUACCCAUUGUUCUCUUUGUUUAAAAAAUCAAAAUAUUGCAGGUUCACUAUAGCACAAAGAUAAAUCAAGUAAUAUAUGGAUGAAUUUUAUACAGAAAUCCUUUUACCCAUAAUAGAUAACUAUUUACAUCUUUAAUUCAAUUUUAUAAAAUUAGAUCAGAAUUUUAAAUUGUCAUUUUAGGUCAUUUUAUUACAUUAAAUAAAAUUCCAAGGUGAAAAAAACACUUUUUAUCCUAACAGAAUUCACUUAACAAGGUUUAUACUCAUUCAUCUUGACACCCCAAGACCUAGAACAGAUGAAAACAAAUACAGUCAAUCGCCAUUGUUCACAGGUUCUUUAUUUGUG
rnacentral:lncRNA from 1 species